rnacentral:RNase_P_RNA from 1 species
AUCAAGGUGCGCGCAUUCGCUCGGCCUCGCGGCUGAGAGGAAAGUCCGGACACCACAGGGCAGGGUUCCGUGUGAAAACAUGGGCAUCGGUCGUCAAGGGCCGGUGAUGGAAAGUGUCACAGAAAACAAACCGCCGGGGUUCGCCCCGGUAAGGGUGAAAAGGUGGGGUAAGCGCCCACCGCGCCUCCGGUAACGGCGGCGGCAGGAUAAACCCAACCCGGUGCAAGACAAAAUAGGGAAGCGGGCGGCCCGUCCAAUGCUUCCGGGUAUAUGUCGCAUCGUCGCAAGACGAAGUCGGGGCCUUGCGCUCCGGCUAGAGGAAUGAAUGCGGCCGGCGCGGUUCGCUGCAACGGCACAGAAUCCGGCUUACAGCACCUUGAUCCCC